GACGAACGCUGGCGGCGUGCUUAACACAUGCAAGUCGAACGAUGAAGCUGGAGCUUGCUCCGGUGGAUUAGUGGCGAACGGGUGAGUAACACGUGAGUAAUCUGCCCUUGACUCUGGGAUAACUGCGGGAAACUGUAGCUAAUACCGGAUACGACACCUUCGGGCAUCCGAUGGGUGUGGGAAGAAUUUCGGUCAAGGAUGAACUCGCGGCCUAUCAGCUAGUUGGUGAGGUAAUGGCUCACCAAGGCGACGACGGGUAGCCGGCCUGAGAGGGUGACCGGCCACACUGGGACUGAGACACGGCCCAGACUCCUACGGGAGGCAGCAGUGGGGAAUAUCGCACAAUGGGCGAAAGCCUGAUGCAGCAACGCCGCGUGAGGGAUGAAGGCCUUCGGGUUGUAAACCUCUUUCAGUUGGGAAGAAGCGAAAGUGACGGUACCAACAGAAAAAGCACCGGCUAACUACGUGCCAGCAGCCGCAGUAA
rnacentral:rRNA from 1 species